UCUGGCUGGGGGUAGAACAGAUGUAAUGUGACAAAAGGGGAAGUCAGAGAGACUAGAAGCAUGAAAACGGCUCCGUGCACCACCACCAGAAUGAAGAUGAAGGAGGCAACAUGAUGGGGAAUGCAGACAGCUUCAAGGACAUGAGAGAGAAGGACGUGUUUGCUUCCUCUUCUGCCAUGAUUACAAAGGCCUUGGAAACAUGAGCUGCUGCAGGUUUUAAAAACUGGAACUGCAAUGCCUCCUCCAGGAGAAAGAGGACAGUUGCAGGUUGGAAAUCAUCUCAUGAACUGGCUCAAGCUCAAAGGAUUCCAGAGGAGAAGACACAGCAGGGACCUAUCUGCCCCACUACUUGCCUCUGCCAUCGAGUCAGAAGAUUUCACCCCAACACCAACAGAGAGCAAGUGACAAAGUUUGUCCCCUGGAAUGGAUGCUGUGAUGACAUCUCUCCUUCCCCAGCAGAUGCCAGCACCUUUUAAAAG